CGGGAAGUAGCGCAGUUGGCUAGCGCGCUUCGUUCGGGACGAAGAGGUCGCGGGUUCAAGUCCCGCCUUCCCGACCA
rnacentral:tRNA from 1 species